GACGAACGCUGGCGGCGUGCCUAACACAUGCAAGUCGAGCGGGGAGUUGCCUUCGGGCGGCUUCUAGCGGCGGACGGGUGAGUAACGCGUGAGCAAUCUGGCCUUGAGAGGGGGAUAACACAUUGAAAGAUGUGCUAAUACCGCAUAAGACCACGGGAUCGCAUGGUUCUGAGGUCAAAGGAGAAAUCCGCUGAAGGAUGAGCUCGCGUCUGAUUAGCUAGUUGGUGAGGUAACGGCCCACCAAGGCGACGAUCAGUAGCCGACCUGAGAGGGUGAUCGGCCACACUGGAACUGAGAAACGGUCCAGACUCCUACGGGAGGCAGCAGUGGGGAAUAUUGGGCAAUGGGGGAAACCCUGACCCAGCAACGCCGCGUGAGGGAAGAAGGCUUUCGGGUCGUAAACCUCUGUCCCAUGUGAAGAGCAGAAGACGGUAGCAUGGGAGGAAGCCCCGGCUAACUACGUGCCAGCAGCCGCGGUAAUACGUAGGGGGCGAGCGUUGUCCGGAAUGAUUGGGCGUAAAGGGCGCGUAGGCGGCCUGUUAAGUCUGGAGUGGAAGUCCUGCUUUCAAGGUGGGAAUUGCUUUGGAAACUGACGGGCUGGAGUGUGGGAGAGGAAAGCGGAAUUCCCGGUGUAGCGGUGAAAUGCGUAGAGAUCGGGAGGAACACCAGUGGGCGAAGGCGGC
rnacentral:rRNA from 2 species